CGGGGCGUGGCUCAGCUUGGUAGAGUGCUCGGUUUGGGACCGAGAGGUCGCAGGUUCGAAUCCUGCCGCCCCGACCA
rnacentral:tRNA from 1 species